ensembl:lncRNA novel transcript, antisense to DDX25
AGAUGCUUCUCAACUGGAGCAAACUCAAGCAGGCUGUUUGAAAACAUUUUGAAAACCUCCCAGCCAGAAACCUUGUUCCAGCAGUGCAGAGCAGCUCAGGUCCUGCCUUGAAUCAAAAGGAAGGAGACUGAGCCUCUCAGAGGACCAGGAACCAAGCCAAGGCUUGACAAAACCAGCCUCUCUCUCUCUGCUGUCUGGAAAGGCAGGCACUGAGAGAGAUGACCUUGGCCAGGCCAUGCAGGAAGACGGGAAAAUUGCUUACAGCUCUGACAGGAGCUGCACCCUGCAAAAAACAGCCUUUGGAUUGUUGACUCACCAAACUAGCCAGUUCGUGUUAAUGCAGCUGUGACACAGGAUGGCUUUGCUGCCUCCUAGGUGGUGAGACAAAGGGACGUGAGGAGGGGGCAAAAGGGAACGCAGAAAAAUACCUGGUUCAUGCAGACCUGUGGGAACAGCUGCCAAACAAAAAUUACUGAGGACAUUUGUGAGGGUAACUGGCGGAGAUCUUACCAGAGAUUUGAACUGUAAAGGAAAGUGGUAAAGUUUUAUUUAGGACACCCCAAGGCGGA